UCUCUGGUGGUUUAGUGGCUAAGACUCUGUGCUUUCACUACCAAGGGUCCAGGUUCAAUCCCUGGCUGGGGGA
rnacentral:tRNA from 1 species